rfam:Culex pipiens quinquefasciatus supercont3.153 genomic scaffold, whole genome shotgun sequence.
UUGGCCAAUUCCGGGACUGAACUCUCGUGGGUCUGCAGUGCUUUUCGUUGGAACUUGUAGCACCAUGAGAUUCAGCUCCGGUGCUGGUCUU